UGGCGAGUGUCAAAACCGUCAUCAAGUAAGUUUAACUAUGCUAGCGCGUACUUUGUUGUCUGCUGGUUAGCAUCAAUUUUGAUUGUCAUAAAAAGGUUAAGGGGAUGUGGCUCCUUCGGGAGUGUUAUAACCCUUGGCGGAAUGUGGCGAUUGGGAUUGAGGUUUGCAACGAAUACCUUUAGGGCAGUUCCUUCUGGUCUCUUGUUGACGUUCAGAUGGCGACAGCUUGCUGACGUUGUUUGAAUAGUUUGCGAAUAGAUUGGAAAGUGAAUUAA
rnacentral:rRNA from 1 species